UACGUAGGGGGCAAGCGUUGUCCGGAUUUAUUGGGCGUAAAGAGCGUGUAGGCGCCAAGCAGGUCAGCUGUGAAAACUCGAGGCUCAACCUCGAGACGUCGGUUGAAACCGCUUGGCUAGAGUCCGGAAGAGGAGAGUGGAAUUCCCGGUGUAGCGGUGAAAUGCGCAGAUAUCGGGAAGAACACCCGUGGCGAAGGCGGCUCUCUGGGACGGUACUGACGCUGAGACGCGAAAGCGUGGGGAGCGAACAGG
rnacentral:rRNA from 1 species